AUCUGGCGCUGCAAAGAAUUUUGUUGGGAGAGAAAAAAGAAAGGAAAGAGAAGAAGAGAAAGAAGAAGGAAGAAGAAGAGAAAGAAGAAGGAAGAAGCAGGAGCUACUGGUUUUGACAAAUUAGCAAUAUCUAGAGCUUAUUCAAGAAAUCGUUGAAGUUGUGAUAGGAAAAAUGAGAAAAUCAAGUUCAGUAUCUGGCGCUGCAAAGAAUUUUGUUGGGA
rnacentral:misc_RNA from 1 species